ACCAGACUCCUACGGGAGGCAGCAGUGGGGAAUAUUGCACAAUGGGGGAAACCCUGAUGCAGCAACGCCGCGUGAGUGAAGAAGUAUUUCGGUAUGUAAAGCUCUAUCAGCAGGGAAGAAGAUGAUGGUACCUGACCAAGAAGCCCCGGCUAACUACGUGCCAGCAGCCGCGGUAAUACGUAGGGGGCAAGCGUUAUCCGGAUUUACUGGGUGUAAAGGGAGCGCAGACGGCAGUGCAAGUCUGGAGUGAAAGCCCGGGGCUCAACCCCGGAACUGCUCUGGAAACUGUGCGGCUAGAGUACUGGAGGGGCAGGCGGAAUUCCUAGUGUAGCGGUGAAAUGCGUAGAUAUUAGGAGGAACACCAGUGGCGAAGGCGGCUUGCUGGACGACAACUGACGCUGAGGCUCGAAAGCUUGGGGAGCAAACAGGAUUAGAUCCCCCCGUAAU
rnacentral:rRNA from 1 species